GAAAUCGUACCCCAAACCGACACAGGUGGUCAGGUAGAGAAUACCAAGGCGCUUGAGAGAACUCGGGUGAAGGAACUAGGCAAAAUGGUGCCGUAACUUCGGGAGAAGGCACGCUGAUAUGUAGGUGAAGCCCCUGCGGGUGGAGCUGAAAUCAGUCGAAGAUACCAGCUGGCUGCAACUGUUUAUUAAAAACACAGCACUGUGCAAACACGAAAGUGGACGUAUACGGUGUGACGCCUGCCCGGUGCCGGAAGGUUAAUUGAUGGGGUUAGCGGUAACGCGAAGCUCUUGAUCGAAGCCCCGGUAAACGGCGGCCGUAACUAUAACGGUCCUAAGGUAGCGAAAUUCCUUGUCGGGUAAGUUCCGACCUGCACGAAUGGCGUAAUGAUGGCCAGGCUGUCUCCACCCGAGACUCAGUGAAAUUGAACUCGCUGUGAAGAUGCAGUGUACCCGCGGCAAGACGGAAAGACCCCGUGAACCUUUACUAUAGCUUGACACUGAACACUGGUCCUUGAUGUGUAGGAUAGGUGGGAGGCUUUGAAGCGUGGACGCCAGUCUGCGUGGAGCCGACCUUGAAAUACCACCCUUUAAUGGCUGGUGUUCUAACGUAGACCCGUAAUCCGGGUUGCGGACAGUGUCUGGUGGGUAGUUUGACUGGGGCGGUCUCCUCCCAAAGAGUAACGGAGGAGCACGAAGGUUAGCUAAUCCUGGUCGGACAUCAGGAGGUUAGUGCAAUGGCAUAAGCUAGCUUGACUGCGAGAGUGACGGCUCGAGCAGGUGCGAAAGCAGGUCAUAGUGAUCCGGUGGUUCUGAAUGGAAGGGCCAUCGCUCAACGGAUAAAAGGUACUCCGGGGAUAACAGGCUGAUACCGCCCAAGAGUUCAUAUCGACGGCGGUGUUUGGCACCUCGAUGUCGGCUCAUCACAUCCUGGGGCUGAAGUAGGUCCCAAGGGUAUGGCUGUUCGCCAUUUAAAGUGGUACGCGAGCUGGGUUUAGAACGUCGUGAGACAGUUCGGUCCCUAUCUGCCGUGGGCGCUGGAGAAUUGAGGGGGGCUGCUCCUAGUACGAGAGGACCGGAGUGGACGCAUCACUGGUGUUCGGGUUGUCAUGCCAAUGGCACUGCCCGGUAGCUAAAUGCGGAAAAGAUAAGUGCUGAAAGCAUCUAAGCACGAAACUUGCCCCGAGAUGAGUUCUCCCUGACCCUUUAAGGGUCCUGAAGGAACGUUGAAGACUACGACGUUGAUAGGUCGGGUGUGUAAGCGCAGCGAUGCGUUGAGCUAACCGAUACUAAUGAACCGUGAGGCUUAACCUU
rnacentral:rRNA from 1 species